rnacentral:tRNA from 2 species
GCGAGUGUGGCCGAGUGGUCUAAGGCGGUCGACUUAAGCUCGACUGGGCAAUCGCCCUCGCGCGUUCGAACCGCGUCGCUCGCA